rnacentral:rRNA from 1 species
UAAGGAAUAUUGCUCAAUGGGAGAAAUCCUGAAGCAGCAACGCCGCGUGGAGGAUGAAGGGUCUAUGACUUGUAAACUCCUGUAAAGAAGGAAAAAAUUCCCAUUAGAUGGGAGAUGAUGGUACUUCUGGAGUAAGCCCCGGCUAACUACGUGCCAGCAGCCGCGGUAAUACGUAGGGGGCAAGCGUUGUCCGGAUUUACUGGGUGUAAAGGGUGCUCAGGCGGAUUUGUAAGUCAGAGGUGAAAUCUUACAGCUUGACUGUGAAACUGCCUUUGAUACUGCAAGCCUAGAGUAUGGAAGAGAGUGAUGGAAUAUCUGGUGUAGCAGUGAAAUGCGUAGAUAUCAGAUAGAACACCAAUGGCGAAGGCAGUCACUUGGUCCAUUACUGACGCUAAAGCACGAAAGCGUGGGUAGCAAACA